GUUUUUAUCUUUGAAACACACUAUGAAAGAUAGUUU
rnacentral:sRNA from 1 species